rnacentral:rRNA from 1 species
GAUGAAGGCCUUCGGGUUGUAAAGCUCUUUCGUCCGGGACGAUAAUGACGGUACCCGUAGAAGAAGCCGCGGCUAACUCCGUGCCAGCAGCCGCGGUAAUACUUAGGGCGCGAGCGUUGUUCGGAAUUACUGGGCGUAAAGUGUGUGUAAGCGGUGCGGCAUGUCCGGUGUGAAAUCUCUUGGCUCAACUCGAUGGCUGCUCCCCGGACUGAACCUCUGGAGUGCAUGGGAGAGUGGUGGAAUUCCCGGUGUAGCAGUGAAAUGCAUAUAUAUCUGGAGGAACACCUGUGGCGAAGGCGGCUAGGAGGCCAAUACUGACGCUGAGGCCCUAAAGCUAGGGUAGCAAACAGGAUUAAAUACCCUGGUAGUCCACGCCCUAAAAUAUGCUGGCUUGGUGUGGGCGGUUCAUGUCCCUGUGUGUUGGGUCUUCCUUGACUUA